UGGUUGGAUCCCUCUCCACCCCGUCCAGAUCAAGCCAGGUCGGAUCCGUCGAUUGGACGGGCAUGCCCUCCCUUCCAAUGCAGCUCUGUUGGCGCCCUAGUGCAGCUCGGCUACCACCCCCCUUGUAGCUCAAUGGCGUGCGGUUUCAGAUGCCACCCCCGUGGAUCCACCUCCUCCUGCUGCAACAGGCCACCGCCUCCUAUGGUCGCCGUCGCCGCGCGCCACUUUCUUCCACCGGCCUCAUAGGCCGUGCCUCCCACGCCCCUUCCGCCCAUAUUCAAUCGGGAGCGUGGGGUUCAGGUUUGUCAUCAUCUUGUGGUCGCCGUCGCCGUGCAGUUCGCUGUGCGAAUCCUGUCCAGGAUUUGCCGUUGGAGAUUGUCUAAAUCCUGGUGGUGUUGUUCCUUUCGGCUGGUGGUGGUGCUACUGCGAGCUGGAGUGGAGCUCUACCCGUCAUACAUACCAUCCACCGGGCCGCCCCCGUGCAGUGCAGUUGAUGGGGACGCCGGAGUCCCCCCGGCGCGGCGCUGUACUCCGCUCUAGGUUGUCCUGGGCGAGGGGGCUCUCUGAAGUUCGGUGGCGCUCGUGGUGCAGCUCGAUGGCGGUGCAGCACAUGGACAGCGCCGCCGUGCAGUUCGCGCGACCGAGUGCGUGAAGUGCGUUCGGUGAGUACAUAUGGUUCGGCGGGGGCGUCGUUUGCAUUCUUGCUGUGUCGAUUCACAUUGGCCAAAGAUGCAGCCGACGACUUCACGCAUGCAGUGCGGGUUCUCUGGUUCUGCAGUUGGGUGGUACCCCUCUGGACAACUCCUUUCAACCUGGCUAGGAGCAGCGCCAUGUGGUUUAUGUUGUUCUCUUGCGCAAGCUGGCUAGCAGCAGACGAUGACGACAUCGGCCAAAGAAUAUUUUGUCCAGUGAUGAUGUUUUUCGUUGUGUAUGUUGGAGAGGUUCGCUCCUCCGUGCAUGUCCUUUUUCUUAUGUCGUUCGCUUAUUUCACAAGUGCAGUUUUACUAUUCGCUUUCA